GAUGAACGCUGGCUACAGGCUUAACACAUGCAAGUCGAGGGGAAACGACGGGGAAGCUUGCUUCCCCGGGCGUCGACCGGCGCACGGGUGAGUAACGCGUAUCCAACCUGCCUCUGACUGAGGGAUAACCCGUCGAAAGUCGGCCUAAUACCUCAUGGCAUCGUCUGCGGGCAUCCAACGACGAUUAAAGAUUUCAUCGGUCAGGGAUGGGGAUGCGUCUGAUUAGCUUGUUGGCGGGGUAACGGCCCACCAAGGCUACGAUCAGUAGGGGUUCUGAGAGGAAGGGCCCCCACAAUGGAACCGAGGCACGGUCCAAAACCCUACGGGAGGGAGGAGUGAGGAAUAUUGGGCAAGGGGCGGGAGCCUGAACCAGCCAAGUAGGGGGCAGGAGGACGGCCCUAGGGGUUGUAAACUGCUUUUAUGCGGGGAAAAAGUGAGGGACGUGGCCUUCAUUGCAGGUACCGCAUGAAUAAGGACCGGCUAAUUCCGUG
rnacentral:rRNA from 1 species